AUGCUCUCGUGGAAUAUCAUGAUUGUCUGCAAACCGCUUACAUUAUUGGGGGCAGAACAAGCAGGGCGAGCUUUGGAUGAAUUGAUCUAUUAUCGGGCAAUCUUGACAAGGACCUCCCUGGAUACCCAAAAUUUCAUAUCUGAAGCAAGUUUUCAAGAAACUGCUCAGGUUUUACCAAAAGCUGCCUGCAAGGACGGCCAAGGAGCAGGUUUUAUCAUAUCGGGAUAUCAUCACAGAUUCACAGUAAACUCCAACCAAACACAACAGAUGAAAAAGGAUGCUUAUGUAGCAACAAAAUUGAAGAUAGUGAUAGUAUAG
rnacentral:rRNA from 1 species